rnacentral:rRNA from 1 species
AGUGAACGCUGGCGGUAGGCCUAACACAUGCAAGUCGAACGGCAGCACAGUAAGAGCUUGCUCUUACGGGUGGCGAGUGGCGGACGGGUGAGGAAUACAUCGGAAUCUACUUUUUCGUGGGGGAUAACGUAGGGAAACUUACGCUAAUACCGCAUACGACCUACGGGUGAAAGCAGGGGAUCUUCUGACCUUGCGCGAUUGAAUGAGCCGAUGUCGGAUUAGCUAGUUGGCGGGGUAAAGGCCCACCAAGGCGACGAUCCGUAGCUGGUCUGAGAGGCUGAUCAGCCACACUGGAACUGAGACACGGUCCAGACUCCUACGGGAGGCAGCAGUGGGGAAUAUUAGACAAUGGGCGCAAGCAUGAUCCAGCCAUACCGCGUGGGUGAAGAAGGCCUUCGGGUUGUAAAGCCCUUUUGUUGGGAAAGAACAGCAGCAGGUUAAUACCCCGCUGUUCUGACGGUACCCAAAGAAUAAGCACCGGCUAACUUCGUG